GGGGAAUAUUGCACAAUGGGCGAAAGCCUGAUGCAGCAACGCCGCGUGAAGGAUGAAGGCCCUUGGGUCGUAAACUUCUGUCCUAUGGGAAGAAAAAAAUGACGGUACCAUUGGAGGAAGCCCCGGCUAACUACGUGCCAGCAGCCGCGGUAAUACGUAGGGGGCAAGCGUUAUCCGGAAUUAUUGGGCGUAAAGCGUACGUAGGUGGUUUUUUAAGCGCAGGGUUUAAGGCAAUAGCUCAACUAUUGUUCGCCCCGUGAACUGAAAGACUUGAGUACAGGAGAGGAAAGCGGAAUUCCUAGUGUAGCGGUGAAAUGCGUAGAUAUUAGGAGGAACACCAGUGGCGAAGGCGGCUUUCUGGACUGAAACUGACACUGAGGUACGAAAGCGUGGGGAGCAAAC
rnacentral:rRNA from 1 species